GACUAGGAUACUGUCAGUACGUGAUAGUUGAUGUUGUGUUAACUAGCAGGUGUAGUUUACUAGCUGUUACUGGCUAGGGUUAGACACUUCUACGGAGCAAUGGCUUUUGGGUGUUGGGUGGGAGUAUUUAUACUCCUGUCUGUAUGGCCUAGUGUAAGAUGUUCUGACCUUCCAAGAGGGGCCAUUGAGACUGCAUGCCGGGAUCGAUACCUGUUAGUAACAACCCAACUCUCAUUUGCUGGGAACGAACCUCGCUUUGAAG